UCAAACACAGAGGGGCGACACAGGAUUCCUCAAACCCUAAACUCAACAAAUCUCACAAAUUGAAGGCAAAAAUCGGUUCUAAAACAAAAUCUGAGCAUAGAUUGGUGAUCUCCUCUGAAAAAGGGUCAUAAGUUUGACUCUUGACAAGCUAGAUGGAGGCUUGGGAAUGAAGCGGGUCAAAUGGAGCAAGUACGAAAAGGAAAGCGUAAUUUGGAUGCGAGGUAAGUAAAAGCUUACACCCUUUUUAGUAUACAUCAGUUGUGUGUAUUGAAAAUGAAUAAGGAAAAGUUAGUAAUAGAGUUAUAAUGUUCCAACGCAAAUAAUAUGAGUCGGAACUAGUGCAAUGGUGAGAAAUCAUAAACAAUGGCAAAAAGGGUAAAUUGGUAAAUUAGUCAUAUGACGAUGAACUAAUAAGAAAUUUUGAAACACUACGUUAUGGUGUAAACUGGAAUGGGUAAAAGGGCGAGAUGGUAACUAGAUAUCAUCUCAUAACAGAAAAGGGUUGUUCGGACUAAACGGGUCAAAUGACAUUGGCGAGAUCAUUUGACAAUAUUAAUUGAUAAUCGCUUGUUGAGUUUUGUGAUUACAGGAAAUAUCAUACGGUUCGCGUUGGUAUUAAUUAGAAACUAAUAGUGAAAGAUAUUUAAACGGGUCAAUCCUAUGACUCAAGCCAGGUGAGUAUAGCAAGCAUCCGGAAGACGAUCAAGCAAUCAAGGGAACCGAACACAUGUCAAAUGAAGCUUCCGCAAUGACUUAUGUUGUUUUCGUUUUAAGUGAACUAUGUAAACAUUUGGAACUAUAUUUUGUUUACUUUAAACACGUAUGAACUCUGACUUGACAAAGUUUU